GUGAUGGUGGUGCAGUGGUAAGCAUAGUUGCCUUCCAAGCAGUUGACCUGGGCUCAAAUCCUAGCCAUCACA